rnacentral:rRNA from 1 species
AAUCAACGCUGGCGGCGUGCCUCAGACAUGCAAGUCGAACGCGAAAGGUUCCUUCGGGAGCCGAGUAGAGUGGCGCUCGGGUGAGUAACACGUAGGUAAUUUGCCUUUGGGUGGGGAAUAACAAUCGGAAACGGUUGCUAAUACCGCAUAAUGCAGCGGCUCGACAUCGAGACAGUUGUUAAAGCGGGGGAUCCUUCGGGACCUCGCGCCUAAAGAGAAGCCUGCGGCGGAUUAGCAGUUGGUGAGGUAAUGGCUCACCAAGGCGACGAUCCGUAACCGGCCUGAGAGGGCGGACGGUCACACUGACACUUAAAUACGGGUCAGACUCCUACGGGAGGCAGCAGUCGGAAUUUGGGCAAUGGGCGAAAGCCUGACCCAGCAACGCCGCGUGAAGGAUGAAAUCCC